rnacentral:rRNA from 1 species
AUUGAACGCUGGCGGCAGGCCUAACACAUGCAAGUCGAACGGUAACAGGAAGAAGCUUGCUUCUUUGCUGACGAGUGGCGGACGGGUGAGUAAUGUCUGGGAAACUGCCUGAUGGAGGGGGAUAACUACUGGAAACGGUAGCUAAUACCGCAUAACGUCGCAAGACCAAAGAGGGGGACCUUCGGGCCUCUUGCCAUCGGAUGGGCCCAGAUGGGAUUAGCUAGUAGGUGGGGUAACGGCUCACCUAGGCGACGAUCCCUAGCUGGUCUGAGAGGAUGACCAGCCACACUGGAACUGAGACACGGUCCAGACUCCUACGGGAGGCAGCAGUGGGGAAUAUUGCACAAUGGGCGCAAGCCUGAUGCAGCCAUGCCGCGUGUAUGAAGAAGGCCUUCGGGUUGUAAAGUACUUUCAGCGGGGAGGAAGGGAGUAAAGUUAAUACCUUUGCUCAUUGACGUUACCCGCAGAAGAAGCACCGGCUAACUCCGUGCCAGCCGCCGCCGUAA